rnacentral:rRNA from 1 species
GACGAACGCUGGCGGCGCGCUUAACACAUGCAAGUCGAGCGACGAAAGGGCCUUCGGGCCCCUGAAAGCGGCGAACGGGUGAGUAACACGUGGGCAACCAACCCUCGGUACCGGGAUAGC